UGGUGUUAGACGUGUCAGAAAAUAUUUUAUACGAAAAAAAAAGAAAUAUUCGAAUAUUUAAUUGAAUAAUUUUUAAGGAGAUAAAAGGAUCACGAGCAUACCACAUCAAUUUAUUUUCAAAUUUCGGACGACGAAAUUAAUUUUUCAACUAAUUUUUAUUUUCCUAUUGUUUGGAUCGCCGAUUCCUCUGUGAAUCGGCGCUGUCCAUGAACAAAAGAAGAGGAAAACUCCAAUCUCAAAUUAUCUGUAUUGGUCCCAAAUUUCCUUAGACAUCAAUCCCCUAAUUAUUAUAUAAUCGGUCCCAAAGACCAAUUGAUGCUUUUUAAAGGCGGAUAUUGAAAUUUUUGAUUCUACUAAUAUCAAGACCGGAGUCUUCUAAUCGAUGGUUUGAUUAGAGCUCAAUGAACCCAAAAUUGACCUAAAACCCUGACUUGUCAAAUCAAUACAUCAAAUGCUAGAGUCUUCCCGUCCAUAGUUUUAUUGAAGCCCAAUGGACACAGCAUUUCCCUAUUACCCAAUUGUGUCAAUUAAAGAAUUCUGGGGAUUCUCAUUCUUUUUCAAUAGGAGAUAAAACAAGAAUUAUUUAUAGUAUAUACAUUUAGCUUAUUUUCCCCGUUAUUACAUACAAGACAAUUAUUAAAUUUAUAUGUUACUUUGGUGCACGAGCAAAGCAAAUUUGAAGCCUUAACUUUUAUAACCACCCAGAACUUUAUCAAUUUCAAAUCCCACGUCUGAAGGCCUAGGACAUCAUGGAUAUUAGCUGGGUGGGGACACUUCGCAAUGAACGAAUUCGUGCCACUGUAGACUAUGAUGCUGAACGCGUUCGAAUCCUGGCAAGAACAUCGAACAAAGCGGUGUUUAUCCCUUCUUAAUGUUGGCGACAUUUGCGAGUACAAUGGUCAUUUAAAAAAUUGUCCACAAAGAGGUGUCGCACUGCUGGACGCCGUUGGGACUCAGCUAUCAAAAAGGUCCCUUAUCAUUGAGUUUAAUAUCAAAAUUCGUGCCACUGUAGACUAUGAUGCUGAACGCGUUCGAAUCCUGGCAAGAACAUCGAACAAAGCGGUGUUUAUCCCUUCUUAAUGUUGGCGACAUUUGCGAGUACAAUGCCAUACAUGGUCAUUUAAAAAAUUGUCCACAAAGAGAUGUCGCACUGCGGGAUGCCGUUGGGACUCAGCUAUCAAAAAGGUCCCUUAUCAUUGAGUUUAAACUUGAAU